CCACAUUUUGAUUAUCAUUCGGUUUUAGUCACUGGAACGAGAAGGUCGUCGGUUGAAGUGUUUGUGCAAGAUGGGUGUCGGAUCGUCUAAUCGAGGCAAAAGUAGUUCCUCCCAUCGCGGAGGAGGAAAUCGUCACCGUGGUUACAGUUCGCAGAAAUCUAGCUGGUCCCAGGCUCAUAUGGUUAGUUCUAGACCUGCAGCGCCAACUAACUUAAAUGUUAAUCGAGCCCUCGGAACGGCACUCUCAACGAACACUGGUCAAUGCCGGCAUCAGCAAAAGGCGACCACUCGAUCUACAGUUCAUCAUCUAUCGAAUUCAAGCAAACAAGUGAUCAUCUUACAAACUGAUCAACCUAUUGCGGGCGUACAAAUGAACCGACAUCCGAAAAACCUGCCGAAAUCAGCAAAUAGUAAUGGUGCCGCCGUGAAGUCGAAGCUUGAUAAUCGCAACAAAGAAUGCGGCGUGUGUGGCCAUACUGGGCACAGUACGGAACGGUGCCGCCAUCGUCACAACAGUUGCUACAUCUGUCAUGAGCCGGGUCACUUGGCAUCGGUGUGCACUCAAAAAUCGCACAACAUUGGCAGUCGUUAUCGACCGCGCGACUGAGCGAGAAUGGAUGCACUACAUCACAACCACUAUCUACGUUUUAGUUCUAAACGCGCAGUAUUAACGGAUGAACGUGAAAUGCAGCAGCAGCAGACAAAACCAGUAUGAUUCCGGAGAUCCUUAUCGUUAUUUUCAUAUGCAUAUUGCUAUGGCACAAAUACUUCAACUCGACCCUCGGCAGAGGCGAAUGUUCCGUAUGUGGCCAUCGUGGACACAGGCCCUCCGUUUGCUAUCACCGUAACAGAACCUGCGGAGUUUGUCUCCAGAGGGGCCACAUCAGCUCCGUUUGUACCACGAUUAUCGUGGCAGAGGAUUCUAGAAUUAGUCCUUCGUAUCUGUUGUAUUUCGUUAUAACGUGGAUUUUGUACAUUUUCCAAGAUGAUCGAGUGCCGGAAUAUCGAUGCCGAGCAUGCGGGAAACCAGAUCACACUUCUCGGAUGUGCCGAUACUCAAUCCGUAGAUGUCAUCGGUGUCGGGUGAAGGGACACAUAACGGCUGCUUGUCCAGGGUACCGGUGGUUUAGACGGAAUCGUUAUAGUUUUUACUGUGUCCUGUUCAUUGUUGCAUUUAUUUUCCUCGCUUGGGUUCAGUCCAAUAAUAAAGUUAGUUCAUAGUUUUGUUUUGUUCUCUGUUAACCAAAUAGUUUGACAACAUCCAAAUAAUGUUAACACAAUGUAGCUUACUGUACUUUAUCGACAUUAUAAAAAUAAUAGAAUAGAAUAUUAGAUUUGCUAGUUUCUACAGUGAAAAUAUCUGAAUAAACCGUUGAAAUAUAAA